rnacentral:rRNA from 1 species
GACGAACGCUGGCGGCGUGCCUAACACAUGCAAGUCGAGCGAUGAAGUUCCUUCGGGAAUGGAUUAGCGGCGGACGGGUGAGUAACACGUGGGCAACCUGCCUUAUAGAGGGGAAUAGCCUUCCGAAAGGAAGAUUAAUACCGCAUAAGAUUGUAACUUCGCAUGAAGCAGCAAUUAAAGGAGCAAUCCGCUAUAAGAUGGGCCCGCGGCGCAUUAGCUAGUUGGUGAGGUAACGGCUCACCAAGGCGACGAUGCGUAGCCGACCUGAGAGGGUGAUCGGCCACAUUGGGACUGAGACACGGCCCAG